rnacentral:rRNA from 1 species
GAGUUUGAUGAUGGCUCUGAAUGAACGCUGUCCAAAUGCUUGACACAUGCUAAUCGAACGUCAAAGUUUUUUGUAGAACUAGUUUUUACUAACUAUUUUGAAGUGGUGUACAGGUGAGUAAAUGAUUUUUGGGCUACCUUAAAGUAAGGCAUAAAAAUUCCUUAUAAAUUAUAUAAUAUAUAUAUAAAGAAGCUAAUGAGUUUCGCUUUAAGAUGCUUUUAAUCUCGGGAAAGUAGUAGUUAAGGUAAUGGCUUAACUAGCGUAAAGCCCGUAGUCGAGACUGAGAGGUCGAUCGACCACAUUGGGUCUGAAAAAACCCCAAUACGUAUAGUACAGCAGUGAGGAAUAUUGGUCAAUAGCCUAACGGCUGAACCAGCAACUUGGAAGAAUGAGAAACAUAAAUGUUGUGUUUCAGUGGUUUACCCACAUAAAGUUCUAGAUAGAAUAUUGAUGAUGACAGCUUUCUAUCUAUGUGUCUUGACAAACUAACGUGCCAGCAGUCGCGGUAAGACGGUAAAGACUAGUGUUAUUCAUCUUUAAUAGGUUUAAAGGGUACCUAGACGGUAGAUUUUGCCCCCAAAGGGAACGGAUCUUCUAGAGUUUUAUAUGAGAGGUAAGAUUUAGUAUUAACGGUGGAGAGAUGAAAUUCUUUGAUACUGUUAGGACUGGUAACGGCGAAGGCAAUCCUCUAUGUAAAAACUGACGUUGAGGGACGAAGGCUUGGGUAGCAAACAG